GAUGAACGCUGGCGGCGUGCCUAAUACAUGCAAGUCGAGCGAACAGAUGAGGAGCUUGCUCCUCUGACGUUAGCGGCGGACGGGUGAGUAACACGUGGAUAACCUACCUAUAAGACUGGGAUAACUUCGGGAAACCGGUGCUAAUACCGGAUAAUAUAUUGAACCGCAUGGUUCAAUAGUGAAAGACGGUUUUGCUGUCACUUAUAGAUGGAUCCGCGCCGCAUUAGCUGGUUGGUAAGGUAACGGCUUACCAAGGCAACGAUGCGUAGCCGACCUGAGAGGGUGAUCGGCCACACUGGAACUGAGCCACGGUCCAGACUCCUACGGGAGGCAGCAGUAGGGAAUCUUCCGCAAUGGGCGAAAGCUUGACGGAGCAACGCCGCGUGAGUGAUGAAGGUCUUCGGAUCGUAAAACUCUGUUAUUAGGGAAGAACAAAUGUGUAAGUAACUAUGCACGUCUUGACGGUACCUAAUCAGAAAGCCACGGCUAACUACGUG
rnacentral:rRNA from 1 species